UGAACCGCAAGUGCAAAGUGCCAAAAUGAAAACUAUGCAAAUAGUCAGAGGGCUAAUGAUGUUUGCCUUAUGCAG
rnacentral:lncRNA from 1 species